ACAAAGCUUUGCACAAACGGUUCUUUUUGUUCCAAGUAUAAAAGCCAUUCACACGUGCAAGCAACAACACCACACACGCACGCAACAAAUCCUGCAGCAACGUUCCUCCCAUCUCUCUCUCCCGUCUCCCUCUUGUCUCCCCCACCACACAGCAACAUCUUUCUCUCUCUCCCGUGUGCACACAAGCUUGAUAUCAGCUCCGUUCUCCCUCACGACGCAGCAACAGUGACAGCUCUCUCGUCUCUCGCUUGAAGCAUCUAGCUGGCUCCCUGGGCUCCGAUCUCCCUCACUCUCUCGGCUCCGUUGUCUUCAUUAUGUCGAUCUCAGCUGCAUCGCUCUCUAACCCCCAACACAAUCGGCUUAACUGCUUAAAGAUUAAUUUGUAAUUAAAGAUGCAGACUGCUUCAUUGUUAAAGAUUAAUUAAUAUGUUUUUGAGGUCUCAUAGAUUUUGAAUGGUUAUUGUUCUUGUUAAGAAUAUCGUGGUCUUCAAAUUAUUUUACAGAGCAUACAUUAAUUUGGUGAUUAAUGUUGAUUGCUUUGCUUAUGAUUGCUUGAAUUUUGUUCUUACAUGAGGGACCUUCUCAGUUUGGUUUGAUUGGGUUGUUCAAAAUUGCUUAUGAUUGCCAAGGGCUGCAGCAAUUGUUCCUCUGAAUGGGAAGCUUUGUAUCAUUCGUAACAUCAUGAGCAUUAGUAUGGUUGCUGCACUGCGGUGUGGUGGGGUGGGGGAUAAGAGAGAGAGAGAGAGAGAGACGGGAGAAACAUUGCUGCACGCUUUGUUCCGUGCGUGUGUGGUGUUGCUGCUUGCAAGUGUAAAUGGCUUUUAUCCUUUGCACAAAACGAACCGUUUUGUGCAAAGCUUUGUGCUUAGCUUUGUGAGAAUAUCGGUGCUGAUAAUAUAAAUGUCCUCUUAUCCUAUUGUUUGUCAUAAUCAUCUAAUGACGAAUCAUUUCUUAUUCAAGCCAUUAAAUAUAAGUACUAUUUCACAUAUUCAAAUUCUGGACAGAGACUUGAGCUCCUGAAGCAAAGCCUCGGCAUCAAUAAAAGAUGACCCACCUUCUUCAACGGCAUUCUUAGCUUUCUCACCCAGCUCUCCGGCUCUCCUCCUCAUCUCCGCCGCCUCCUCUCCGGUACCCAUCAGCCUUUUCACGGCCACCUCCACCUUGUCUCUCCCCACAGCAGCACUAGGCUCAGUGCUCCAAGACACCCAGUUCACACUCCCAACUUUCACACCAAUCUUCAACACAUCACUAAUCAACUUCUCAUUCGAAAACUGCUCUGCUGUUAUGGGCCAUGUUACCAUUGGCACCCCGGCACUCACACUUUCAAGCGUUGAAUUCCAGCCACAGUGAGUCAUAAAACCCCCCACUGCCGCGUGUUCUAGUAUCAAAAGCUGCGGUGCCCAUCCUCGUAUUAUUAGACCUCUCUUGGAUUCUCUCAUCCUCUCUUCAAAUCCGCUUGGCAACCAAUUCUCUUCAAUACCAUUCUCCUUUCUAGUUCCAGGAGAUUGAAAUAUCUUUCCUACAACCCAAAUGAAUGAGUGAUUUGAAGCUUCAAGCCCGUAUGCAAUCUCCAGGAGUUGUUCAGGAGCCAAACGAGCUAAGCUUCCGAAACUAAUGUAAAGAACUGAAUUGGUUUCUUUACUGUCAAGGAAGCUAAGAAUUUUCCCUUCAUCAAUACUGGUCUUCUGGCCUCUUUCAGCUUUAUCUUCAAUGUUUCUGUUACAUAAAGAAACUGGACCGACGAACCAAGCUUUGUCAUUACCCAAAUCUUGCUUAAAAUACUCCACAUAAGCUGGCUCCAAGUCGUAAAAACUGUUAACAACAAUCCCAAAACUUUUCUCUUCCGGUUUUGCAAACAUUUUAUGAACGGACCCAGCUUCUUGUUGUCUGGCACCAACCGGAAGCUGAGAGCUGGUCAAUUCAAUUUUAUCAGGAAGACCAGGAACAACAAAUGGCUCAUAAUCAGAGCUCACCUUCUCAUGAGGCUUAUACUUCCUUACGUUUUCCAGAACACAACGGGAGAAGCAGCAAUUACCAUUAAACACAAUUCUUGGAAUAUUCAUACUGUUAAUGACAUCAGCAGACCAAUGAUGAAACAUAUCAUGGACUAUGCAGUCUGGUCUGGAAUCGAGGAGGAGUGAUUUGAGAGGCUUCUGAAGCAUGGAAGUGUCGGUUCGGGGUGUAGCAGACAUGUCCGUGUCUGGUAUCUCGAUGUCGUCGGGUAAAUGGAGGGUUUUGAUGGUGAUGGGGAGGCCGGAUUGUUGGUUCCGGUUGAUGGAUUUUUGGAAAGAAAGGGCGUGUUUUGGGGAUGUGAUGAUGGUUGAUUUGGCUCCAUGAGCGGCAAAGAUUCUGGCUAUGUCUACCAUGGGGAUUUGGUGACCUCCUCCUACAUAAGGGAAGAAGAACAUUUCAACUGGGGAAGAUUUUGAGUCCAUGAAUACGAGGAGAAUGAGCUAAUUAUUGAAGAGAGAAGCAGGGAAUUUAAAGGGAUUCUACCAAGAAGAAUGUUCAAAUUAUUGAGUCGCUAUUAUACAAAAUAGCUUACCUGUGGAGGGACGUCAUCUAGCACAUUUGAUACAGCCUUCAGUCUCACAGUGCUGUCAAAUAUGAAGAAUCUAAUGUCAUAAUGUAAAGCCUUCGGUAGUUCCUGUUGAGCCAAUUGGACCCCCAGUGCAAUGAAUUAUGUCUGCACAUUAUCGAAGUCGAGAAGUAAAUUGUAAGCGCCUAGGUGAAAAAUGCCAUGAGAGCCUAGCGAAAUUGUUUUUCCCUUCUAAAUUCAAACUUUGGGCAUGUUUACUUAUCAAAAACUUUUGCUGAAAUUUGUUCAAGUUGUUUGGUAUGUGCAAAAUUCAGGCUCUUUUUUCAUCUCUAUUCUGUAUAGUUUUGAUUGAUUAAGAGGUGAAAUGAAAUUUUAUACUUUUUUUUUUAAUACUGUUAUACAGGAUUAUUACUGAUAUUACAUCAGGUAUUACAAUUAAUAUUUACAAACAGAUUAUACAAUUGAGACCUUCUUCGUGGUAUGUACUCCUCUGAAGCGCUAUCCAAAUUCUUUAAACCCUCUCAAAUAUUCGAGGACUGUCCACUCCACUCACAUUUCGUGAGAAAUAGACUGGCUCCACUCAAUUAUUUGAUAAUUGAGGGAGAAUUGUAAAUAACCCCAUAAAUACUUUUAUGCAGGCUCGAACCUUUGCACUCAACAUUGUAAGUGCAAGGGUUCUCCCACCGAAAUUUUAUACUUUUAAAGAGGCAAAAGGAGUCUGGAUUUUGUUGGAAAUUGGGAAGAAGAGACUAUGGAGAGGAGAAAUAAAUGCAUGAUUUUCUAUAACAACAAACAUCAGCAUUUAAAAACAAGAAUCACACACGUCUAUCCUAAGGGUGACUACAAACUAACAAAGACUUGGAAUCUAUCCAAGAGGGACUUAUUUGAUCCCUUGCUAGUUCAGAAUUCUCCCCUGUUCGCAUUUUCGGCAAGACCUAAGCUCUCCGAUGAAUUUUCUCACAUUAACAUAAAGAAGAACCACCAUUUUCAAUAGCUUCCUUUGCCUUGUCUCCCAAUUAUUUUGCUCUCUUUCUGAUCUCAGCAACUUCCUGCUCUUUGCUACUCAUCAGUUUACUCACUGCCUUAACCUUCACUCUCGCCUCAUUUCCUACUGAAAUGCCAAUAUUCAGCACAUCUGUAACAAAAUUUUCUUAUUAUAAAAUUGCUUAGUGUAAUAGGCCAAGUGAUCAUUGGCACACUCGCAGGCACACCUUCUGAAGUUGAGUUCCAUCCAAAAUGUGAAAUAAGUCCUCCCACAGAUUCAUCUUCAAGAAUCAGAAGCUGCAGUGCCCAACCAUGAAUAAUCAUCCCUCUAUUGAUCUUGUUAACUCAUUCUUGUCAGGAAGCCCUUGUAGCUGAAAAGCUUCCAAGUCCGAAACAACCUUCUCAUGGGUUACAUAUUGUCUGAUGCUCUCUUCAGCACACAAAGGGAACAACAACCAGUGCCAUGGAAGAUUAUUAUUGGAAUUCCAAGCCUGUUAGCAAUGUCAGCUCUCCAUGGACGAAACGUGUCGUAUGCAAUCAGGUUUUGUUUCUACGGAGGAGUUGCUCAAGUGGGUCUUGCAGCUUCAUGGUGGCCGUGAAGAGCUUUGAAGACACAUCAUCAGAAGUGAUAGCUAAUUGGUUUUCAAACCCAUCAGGUAACCCGAAUUCUUCUGCAGGUAAUUUGGGUGUAUGGAAACUGAUGUUGAGGCCUAAUUGUUGGUCUCGCUGAUGGUUUUCUGGAGCAGAAGGGCAUUGUGGGGUGUUGUUAUAAUGGUGGCUUUUUAAGGUUUACCCGUGAGAGGCAGAAGCUCUGUCCAAAUUUACUACGGGGAUCAAGUGGCCUUCCGGUAUCUAAGGAAAUAAGCUUAUUUGUAGCAUUGAGGCCUGCGAAUCCACGGAUGUCAAAGAAGUUGCUAGCAGCUUGGAAAAUAUUGUCCGGGUUUCAGGAGAGUGUUUUGGAUACAACAACGGCAUUGGAAAUAAACCCUUAAUUGUUUUAAGAAGCCUCCAUGUACGAGGACGUUCGACUGCUAAUACGUUAGAAAAGCUAUUAACGAAUGGCAACAGAUAAAGAAUACUUGUUUUUCUCAAUUACUGAGAUGAAAUUCAGAACAGAAUUUAAUGCACAGGUAUAUAUAAUGGGCCUUGUCAUCAAUGAACAGAAUUUAAUGGAAAAAUGAAAGUUGCCUCGUUUGGUAGAUGGUUACCAAUUUUUAAGAAGGAUGAGAGGUUAUAACGAUGGAUAUUAAACAAAUAUAUGCUCGUAACAAAUUUACAGAGGAAUAGUUGUUUAUAUUAUAAAAAGUAGAUUGCAUCCAAGUGAAAUCUGGUCCUCGCAAAUGAUAUGGAAUCUUAAUAAACCUAUUAACUACCCUUGCUAUACUCACCCCAAUUAACUACCUAGACUGGACAGAAUAAUCAGUGGGUGCAAAAAGAAUGAAAGCUUUGUUGGAGUACAAAAACCAUGAAUCUUAUGUGAUACUGUAAUUAUGUCGAUCUUUCACCUUCACGUUUUAUCCGGAGGGCAGCUCUAACCACAUUUCCUCUUGUGAUGAGUCCAACCUUCAAGAUUUAAACAAGGGCCAAUAAGUAUACAUCUACUGAUGGGCAAUCCAACUAACGAAAUUUUCAGUAAUCGAUAUUAAAACCAAAAUUCUUACCAGCUUGCCAUCACCAUCUACUACCGGCAGUCUACGGUAUUUUGUUUCAAGCAACAACCUGCCAAUAAAUUAUUAGAUUUAGUGCAUUUCAGAGAUUCAGCUUUUGCAGGCUAGAAAGGAGGGAAUGACAUUAUAGGUAUCAAAUGUGCCUAGUCGUUUUUUAUUUUGAAUGCCAAAUUUGAUAUGAUAAUCACUCUUUGCGUUUGGCAUCAUCAUUUUGAAAAUUAGGAAUUUAACAAUUAGUUCCAUUACCACAAAAGCUUGAAAAGAGGUGCAGAAAAUGCAUCAAAUGCUCGAUACUAGAACUCUUUCCUUCAAUAAACAUAAUCAUUGGAAAAAUACACUUGUUACUUGGAUUUUUGGAUAAGAAAAUAGACUGGACCAUUAAUGAAUAGACAGUUUGUAAAAAAAUAAUUAAAAAGCAGAUGAAUUGAAUACCUAGCAGCAUCUUCUAAGUUGGCAUUUUCAUGAACAACGAGCGGAGCAGGCGUCAUCAAGUCACCAACAACUUUUCCAUUAGUCUUACUAAGAAGUCUCUGUAACUCAUUAAAUGUCUGCCACAAGUGCACAAAUCAGAGAAAGCAGCAGAUGCAAGCCAUUUGUUCACAUAGUUCAUAACACAAGCUAAAGACAAAAACACACACACACACACACACACACAAACAAAAUAAAAGAGAUAAAGAGAGAUUGUGGAGGAAGGGGGAGUGCAAUGAUGAUGCAAAAGGUUUCGAAGCUCUCAAUCAUGACUGUUCAGAUUAUGUGCAAAGCCUUUGGUUUCCAUUUUUCACAAAAUAACAGAAACAUCUAAAGGAGCUGACUUAUAAAUCCAAAGUUUCACCCUAAAUAAUAUUUGUGAUUUUGGUGCUCUGAUUUGCCUAAGUUUUUUAGUGUUGAUAUAAUGGCAUACAAGUCCAAUUUCGUUUAUGGAUAUACAAUUCUGCAAUAUGACUUUCAGCCUACUUUUAAUCCUGUGGAUGCCAUCUUAUGCCAAUGCCACAUGCUGAUAAAAUAUCUGAAACACUAAUCUAUUGUUAGCACGAUAUCAUUAUGUUCACGGACCCUGGAUUUCAGUGAAGACAACCCAACAAAAGCUAAUUCCUCUAAGAAAUCUAACAGUCAUACUGAAGAACCCAUAUGAAUAUGUGCUCACAUGCCCAGAUUUGGCAUGCCACAACAAUAGUAGCAUAAUAAAUGGUUUCUUGGAUGAGUGUUGAGAAAGAAUGCAAUUACAAUGAGAUAAAACUAACACAAUCAGUUGCUAUAUCAACAAUUAACAUCUUUUCAUCAAAUUCAAAUCCCAAAGAAAAGGAAAUAAAACUGAACAGUUCUCACAUACUUUCCAAGUGCUAUUGACAUUAGGAAACAAGCUUGUGUCAUUUUGAUUGCCACCUGGUAGCCAUAAAAAGAUAUAUCAGUGACAGUUGCACAGAAAAAUUUCAAGAGGAUCCAAAUGUAAUGUCCAAUAUGGAAAAUUUCAAGAGUUAGUCAAUCAAUGAUGAGCAAAAGCAGUAUCAAAGCACCAUAGAACAGAGCAGCAUCUAGUUUGUUGUCUCAAUACUCAAAUCAUGAUCGAGUUGGACCUACUAAUGUGGAUAUCUUUCCUUAUGUGCUAUGCAAAUUGAGAAAAGGGAGAAUGUUUUUGGCACACAUUUCAGAUCUCCCCACACACAACCAUAUCCAUUCCAAUUAUAGGCAAAGAAAAAAGCAGUUACUUCACUGACUCAUCUCAAAUUAUUAUAGACAAUUGUUAUCUCACAGAAAUUAAUGUCCGAUCCAGAUUCCUUCUAUAUUUCAUAAACGCCUCCAAAGUUCCUGACACUCUGAUCUAAAAACAAUUUCUAUGUCCUUCCGAAAUUAAACUUCUGAUACUAGAUAGGAAACCUAAACAUGUUUAGAAUAUGUGUCAAGUAAAUUCAUGUCCUCCAUUACUUAUAAUUUUCUACCAAAGGAAAAGGCAAGGGCCAAAUUAAAAUAUUAUACGAACUGCUAUGUCAAGAAGGAAGAUAUUAUAUUAGCAGUCAUUGCCCCUUCUACAGUAAGUAGGAAACCACAGUUUAUUCCUCCAACAAAUUUUAACAACCAGCGAGCAAAAUAAGCAUUCCCAGAAUUGAAACCAAAAUAAAGAUUGAAGCCGAGUUUUCUCAUACUACCUGAAAUGGAAUCAAGUGCUAGCAAGUCAUAAUCUGAAACAACACCAACCUACAGUGAAAAUUAACUGGAAUCAAUGAGUUAACUACUACAAUCAACAUUAUUUAGGAAACCACAGAUACAUCAUAUCAACCAAAACAUAAUCUGAAACAACACCAACCUACAGAGAAAAUUAACUGGAAUCAAUGAGUUAACUACUACAAUCACCUACGUUAUUUAGGAAACCACAGAUACAUCAUAUCAACCAAAACAUAGAGGUGGAUUAGCAGUAGUAUUUAGUUAAUUUUUGGAUUCCAUUAACAAAUAAAAAAAAUUGUCACAAAAGGAUUCUACCUUACAAGAAAAUGGCAUGUCUUCAACCACUUGAUUUAACAUCUAACCAAAGACCGAGGGUUUAAAGGUCCCACGUAGAUAAUAUAAAAUUGUAAAAAACCAUGUGUUCAUUGCUUUGCUCAAAAGUGAAGAUCUUGAGGAGAUGGUAAGAAAACAAAAAUUAUCAUCCUUUUCCUCUGUUAAAAUACACAUUUGCAUUUAAGACUAAAGCAAUAUACGUUCAAAUAUCAAAAAGCGGUACAUCUAUUAUUCUCUCUGUAUAAUUUAUCGGUAUUCCAAAGUAAAAUCUCCAGCAAACACAAAAUGCAAGUUGAUAUCGUAAUCACAAAAUCUCAUCUACGAACUACACCAAGGGUGUGUUUGCAACUGUUGUGUUUCUGCAUAAUUGUGAAAACACUGCCUUUUAUUUGGCAAUUGACAUUUACCAACCACUCUGCCAAAGUAUUAUACUCAAUAGGUAGUGAUUCCAUUUCACAGUCAUCGCGGACUGUAUAACUAUAAGCCACAGCAUCUCAAACGCAAAGAUACUAUAAACAAUAAAAUAUACAUUAUGUCGGUAUACAAACAGUGAAUGAGAAAGUAAUCAAAAUUACCAACUUCCAGUCGUCAUCAAUCACAGGAAAACCGGUAAUUCUCUUCUCCACAAGACGUUCUAAAGCUGUAAUCGCGCAUUUUUAUUUGAAUCAAGUCAAAAUAAUUAAUUAGUAAUAAAACGAGAUAGGAACAGCGGCUGCCACGUGUCACAAAUACCUUCAUCGACCGUUGUAGUAGUCUUUACAGCGUGUAGAUCCUCUUUCUUCGUCAUGAAGUCACCAACUGUGUACGUUCCAUUUCUCGGCUGCAAUAACCGUACAAAUAUUUAUAUCAAUAAUUUAGCACUCGUUAAUUACUUGACACACAAGUUUUGAACCAAAUCUGUACGUGAAUCAAAUUCAAAACCGAACGACCAUAUUAUCUCAUCAUCUUAGCGAUCAACUGAAAGCGAAACGGUACUACUUACAGGAACGGAGUUGGUGAUCCCGACGCCGUUGUGAGCAAAAGCCUUCACCUCGCGAGAGACAGUGAAAAAACGUAGUCGUUUGGAGAGAUGCGAAGGAGUGGCCACCGUGAUCGGUAACUGAAGGUGAGGAACGGAGUUAAUAACGCCGUUGGCGUUGAGUCGCGCGAGUGUGAGACAACUGGGAAUCGAAAUCGAGCUCAUUGUUCUCUCUCUUUUUCUUCUCAAUGUUUUAAUAAUUGAAAUAAAGUGGUUUAUUUAAGUUAUUUAUUUUUUGUUUGCUAAUUAAGAGAGAGUGAGAUUCGGCUUAUAAGAAGAGAAGAUUCAGAGAGAGAAGGGGGCUGCAAGUUGCGUGCGCCAAAGAAGCGUCGAGAGGAAAAAGUAAAGAGGAAAACUGUAACUGGUCGGCGGAUACAACUUCCAAGUCCCCACACGCGCCAAAUUGUGUCGCCGCCUGCGGGGCCAGGACUCGCGUUAUUUUAAGACUGUUGUGUGUGUGGAUAUUAGAGGUUUGACUUUUUAUAUAUAUAUAUAUAUUUCACAAUUCUUUCACAAUUUGGCGAUCCGUUUUAUCGACUCUACUCUUAGUAGUAAAAGACGAGUUAUUAGUCAAAGAAAACAGCUUCAAAAUCAUUUAAUAAACGUGAAAAAAACUAGGAGCUGGCUAAGUUACAGAUUCUGUAACAUACAGAUCCAACUUAGCCAGCUCUUGAUUGGUUAGCUACUAGCUACCAAAUAAAAAUAAUUGCAUGCUUUUUCUCCAUAUGCGGGACAGGUGUGGUGCAUGCAUUGGGUGCGUAUGUUACAGAAUCUGUAACAUAGCAACCUCCUGAAAACUAUAUCAUAAAUUCAAAAUCAAACUUUCGCUGGGGGUCCACUUUUUAAUUUUUGAAGCCUAAAAAUGGAAAUUCAGGUUUGGAAAAAUAUUAAGUAGCCCGAACAAGUUAAGCCUAAAAAUGGAAAGGACCCCAUUUCUCAUUUGCAGAGAAGGUGGUAGAAAAUUGGGAAGCAACCAAAACGUAAGUUGUUGGGAAUUAAUGGAAAUUAUUUGUUCAAAUUUGAACACGCAAGGCCUUUUAUCAUAAUACAUGUCAUGUAUGGUGUAUCAACUUUGAGAGGCAUCAUAUUAACCAGUACGUUUAACAUGUGACCAUUUGAAUCACCUAUAUUAAUAAUUUUUUCUAUCUUUCAAGAUUUGUUAUUAAAAGUAUUUCAAUUCUAGAUUUUACAAGCCCAUUGGUAUUAGGCGCAUGAGUUCAAAUCCCAGUAAUUGCUAGGACUCGACUCCCCUUUAAUAGUAAUUUAUUUAGUUCUAUGCUUUGGAGGUAUAAUAGAUUUUCUUCUUAUAUUAAAGUGAGGGUUGUUGUUCGGGUUAUGCUAUCUUAAAAUUAUAAAAAAAAAAAAGUAUCGAUUGAUGUCUGAUUGUAAACAUAUCAGUAGAGAGUUUUGAUUGUAAUAUAUAGUAUAUAAAAAAAUUCUUAAUUUCACACAAAUCAAUAUAAUUUUGGUGCUCAAUUCUUUGAUCUUUUAUUAUUCUUGAGCAUCUUUUUGUGAUUUUUUUUUUAUAUUUUUAUAUAGUAUAUAUUUCUCUGUAUUUGUGAUUCUUGAUGCUUACUAUCGAUCUAGUCUUUUAUCUCCAAUUAUAUGCUCAAGAUAUUGUUCAUACGGAAGUAUUCAAUUUAUUUUCUCAAGAGUAAUAUUUUAGCACCUUACAUAAUAUUCGAAAUCUUGAUUUCAGAUUGCUGCUUGGUCAUAUGAUUAUUUUUAUAAUUUUUUUAAUCAAGACAUGUUUCUUGAAACUUUUAAGUGUUGCUGAAUUAGUUUUUAAGUUCGUAAAUUAUUUUUUGAAUCAUAAUUAUGUUGGAGUUGUAUUCACUUUUUUCUUUGUUUGUUUCUUCUAAAUUAGUGAGUUCGUAAUUAAGCUUUCUACUUUGAUCCUCUUACUGUAACUUGCUCUCUUCGCUAUUUACUUGAAAGUAGUUUCAACUUUCUUUAGUUGAUGAGGCUUCUUGACUGGAUGAAAUGGAGGAAAAUAUACAAAUAUUGACUUUAUUCAUCUGCAUAAUUUUCUUUUUUCUAAAGUCCUCUUGUACUAAUGCAUAUGACUCGUGCACUGCUAAUAAGAUUUAUAGAAAGUUUCAUUAAUGCAGAUAAGAUAAGGCUGAUACGGCCAAAUUUCCAAUGCUGUGACUCGCAGACAAAUGCUUUUGUUGCUGGGAACAAGAUCAGCAUACUAAUUUGCCACAUGAAAGUGUCACUAACUCAACAAUCAGACAAGUUUCUCUUUUGAAAGAGCUUAAACUUGAUCACAGUUUACAGGAUAAGUUCUGUGAUCAAGAACAGUGUAGGCAGUCUUGGUUGAAUUUUAUCAAGAAUAUUGUGUUCAUAAAUAUUGUCAGUAAAUAUAUUUAUGGUUCAUUUUAUUCUUAAUGACUGAUUUGAUGAGCUAUCAAAAGUUUUUUGCUCAUUCACGCAAAAAUUAAAAAGAAGAAUUGAAAAAACAUUAAAAGCAAAGCAUUCUUUGUGAAAAACAAAUUAUUGGCCUGGCACUAUUGAUUUUGAAGAUUCAGAGCUCAUAAUUUCCAAUUUUCUAUCAUGAUUAAACAACUAAAUUAGAAGGAAGAAAAAAAUAUCUCAAAAUAUGUUUAUACAUCAAGAAAAAAUAGUUGAAUAAAGGUGAAAUACUGAAGAGUAUCAUGAAUAUCAGCUCAAGAGCAGCAUUGGCUAGAUGCAAGUAGGAGAGAGGCUGCUGAAGCAACUCUUGUGCAAAUUCAUGCAUGUUUAGUUCUACGUGGAAAAUUUUGCAAUUGCCAAUAUGAACGAAGCAAAGAUGCUGAGUGAGAAUGAGAUGAAGAAGAAGAAGAGUGGGUAUCUCUCUUUGUUGAUUCGUUAAGGAUAAUUUUUUUUUUAAUUUUAAAAAUGGUAAUUUCAUUAUUAUGGAUUAAAUCUUUGUGUUUGAUGAUCAACUUAAAUGAAAUUUUUAUAAAAAUGAAAAAUUGUACUCGUGUCAUCUAUAGGAAAUGCAACUAUACUUAGCAUGCCUCUUGACCUCUAUGGUUACGUUCUAAAGUCAGAUGCAAGUGCACUUGCACGAGUAUAUAUACAUGCACGUAGACCUCCAGAUCAAGGUAAUAUAAUUUCACCGCAUCUUAAAAAUAUAAUAUUCUACUUAUACUAACCAUAAACAUUUUCUUUUCUUUGGUUCCACCGUUUGAGAAAAUAUCACAUAUUUAGACUGGUGAAGAGAAAAGAAGCAAUUUUGUAUGAAUAUGAUAUAAAGAGGAGGUGGCAAGACAUAAUUAAUUACUAAUGGAAGUAAACGUAUUAAUGAAGAGGUGGAAUUAGUUUAAUAAGAGAAGUUCGUAUACCUGUACUUGGUCCUUGAACAGCUCGUAGGAUACAGUGUCCACAAAUGUGUUCGCGAAAGCUUUAACAAAAACAACAUGUUCGAUAAAUUAUAAACAUAAUAUCACAAGCCCUUGUCUUGUGUAAGUAGCCUUUUAAAACUCAAACCAAUUAAGACUCCAUCCACUCUGUCAAGCAUCAUAUUUUUAUUUUUUUCAUAAACACCGAGUAAAAUAUAUUCAACUCAGUAAGGCAUGAACCAAUGAACUUUUGUUUUAGUGGGAGAACCUUUGCACUCACAAUGUGUGAUAAGAAAUGUCUGAACCUCCAUAAAAGUAUUAUGGAAGUUAGUUAAUUGAGUGAGAGUGUGAGUUCAUAAUUGUUAAGGAAACUCAUGUUGCAGUCAAAGGAUCAGCUCAGUCAGCACGUGUGAGUCAAAGCAGAAAUCAGCAGAGUCUGUUAAGAAACUUUGCCAGCUCAGCAAGUUUAUUGUAGCAUGCUUUUCAUUCUGUUUUGUAGUUAAGCUUACUUAAUAAGUUUAGCUCUCUUAUUCUAGCUUUUGUAUAUAAGCUAAUAUUGAUUUACUUUAGUUUGUAAUUGAGAAUGAUAUAAAAUAAACUUCAGAGUAUUCCUUUCAUUUUCUUAGUUCCCAAACACAUUUUACAGUUGCAAAUCUUAACUUUCAAACAUGGUAUCAGAGCCAAACAGAGCAAGCUCUAGUAAUCAACAAAUGAAUUCCAGAAAUAUAACAGCAGCAAAUAUAAGUCAGAUCAAUUUUUCAUUCAACACUCCGAUCAAGUUAGAUAGAUCCAAUUAUCUGCUUUGGCGAUCACAAGUGCUAGCAUCGAUCAGAGGAAAUCGAUUGGAAGGCUUCAUAGAUAGAACCAAACCAGCACCAGAAGAAAAGUUACUACUCGCUAGAGCUGAUGGAUCUGCUCAAGAAAUCGAUAAUCCAGAAUAUCAAAAUUGGAGGUCACAGGAUCAAACCUUAAUUGGAUGGCUUUUAUCAGCAAUCAAUGAAGGUAAUCUUAGUCUUGUUAUUAAUUAUGUAAGCUCGUUUGAUGCAUGGAGAACCUUAGAGAAGAAGUUUGGAGUUCAAUCUGAAGCUAGAGUACUUCAGCUUAGAUAUGAGUUGAAUACAAUAAAGAAAGAGGCAUUAAGCAUUGAAGAUUACUGUAUUAAGAUGAAAUCUAUAGCUGAUAAACUCACUAGUGCUGGUAGUCCAAUAACAGAGAAAGAUCUGAUGUUAACAAUACUAAAUGGAUUAAGAUCAGGCUAUCGUGAUAUAGCAACUUUCAUAACUGGUUCUAAAAUGGAAUUUGAUGAUGCUUAUGCAUUGUUGUUAACACAUGAAACCAGGCUUGAACAAGAACAGGAUGAUAAGAAUAUGUUUAAUGCAAACUAUGCCAAUUCCAACAUAUGUUAUCCUAGAGCUUUCUAUGGUCAAGCUAGAGGUAAUUUCAGAAGAGAUGGAUAUGUUGGUGGUAGUUUUGGUAAUAUUGGUAAUAGAACUCAUGGAUUUGAAAGAGGAAAUUUUGGUCCACAAAGAGUGUUUAAUGGAAACUUCAGGAGUGGAAAUAGCAGAGGACAGUUUCCUGGUCAAAAUAGUGCUCAUAAUUUUUCUUCUCAGUCACCAAGAAAUAUGAAUCCAUUCACUAGAAAUGGAUUUGUUGGAAUGAAUGGACCAACAGGAUCUACUGGAGCUAUAGAAGAAACUACUUGUCAGAUUUGUUUCAAAGUUGGUCAUACAGCUGACAUCUGCUGGCAUAGAUUUAUAGAAGACUAUACUCCUACUCCAAGAAAUUUCAAUAAGGGAAAAGGGCCAAGAUCUGCAUACUUUGCUAAUUUUGAGAGUUUCAACUCACAUCCCAGCUGUGAAGAAUAUGAUUGUUUCAACUAUAUGCCACUAAACUUUCAUCAUACUUCUGGAGUUUAUCCUUAUUCUGGAGGUGAUGCUUACAAUUCUGGAGCUGCAUAUAUGGCAAAUUUUGAAGGAGUUGCUGAUGAUGGCUGGUAUUUGGAUAGUGAAAUACAAGUAUGCAACCCAAGAGGGGGGGUGAAUUGGGAUUCUAAAAAAUUAUUCAAUUUAUUAAAGAAAAUCUUAAUGCAAUUAUAAAUCAAAUUCAAAGCAAUAACAAUUAAGAAGAUCACAAUAUAAAAAGAUAAGGGAAGAGGGAUUCAAACACCGAGAUUUUUACGUGGUUCGGCCAACCUCGCCUACGUCCACGCCUCCAAGCUUUCCGGGCUUGAGGAUUCCACUAAGCAAGCCUCCAAGGCUUCAAAUGCUUACACUUGACUUCCAAGGUGUCAAUAAACCUUUACAACAAGAGAUUAUCCCCAAUCUCUUAACCCAAGUGUAUCCCAACACUUACAAUCACUCAAAGUAAAAGAUUACAAAUUGUUUUUCUCUCACACAAUAUUUAAGAUCACAAAUCAAUGCCCAAUGUGUGAAUAGAUGAAGAGAGAAUGUGUUUCAAGCUCUAUGAAGAUUGUAUUCUCGAAUAUUUGCUCAAUGGUCGUGUUGUUAUCUAUCUUUGUUUGGAUUUGAAUGAGCUUAUUUAUAGUUGCAGCUGAAAACUAGCCGUUAUUGACUUUCUGCACACUGUCGGAUCGCCGUUAACUAUAUAUCGGAUCGCCGUUUGACUGGUCAAUAUGACCGUUGAGCUGAUUUUUCAAAUUGUCGGAUCGCCGUUAUCUAGAUGUCGGAUCGCCGUUUGUGUCCAGAGGCUACACUUCACUUCUGGUUAAUAUCGGCGAGCCGUUUAUCACAAUUGUCGGAUCACCGUUUUUGUCCAGAGGCUACUGGAUGAUAUCGGCGAGCCGUUUAUCACACAUGUCGGUGUGCUGUUUACGUCCAGAGGCUAAUCUCCAUUUCUGCUUGAAAUCGGCGAGCCGUUUAUUACAAAUGUCGGAUCGCCGUUUUCCACUAAAACUGCUGCAGUGAGCUAUUUUGCAAGAUGACUGUUUUGUCUCCAAAUCUUUAUAAAAAAAAACUUUAUGAAACUUGUCAAAAAUAGAUGAAAAUUAUGUUGAGCUUUUAAAAACAAUUAAUCAAUCUUAAUUAUGUUUGUUAUCAUCAAAAUCAAUAAAGAAUAAUUUAUGUUAACAAUCUCCCCCUUUUUGAUGAUGACAAACUUUUAAAAAAAAAAACUUGUGCAAUUUUUGCUCCCCCUAAAUAUGUGCUCCCCCUAAGUGAAAUUUUGAAAGAUUUGUUAACUCCCUUGUUAAAAAAAAUUAAACACGACAGAUUGAUUUAAAAAAAAUAUGCCAGUAAACACAUGCAUGCCAAUACUAUUUUGCCAAAAUGCAAAAACAGUUUUGCAUUUGCGAUUUGCUAAUUUCUCUCCCCCUUCAUCAUCAAAAAGAAAGAGACGCGAUGAAUGACUUAUGUUUGGAGAAAUUUGGGCAGAGGCUCCCCUGAAAUAUGAGCAUUUCCUCAAUAACACACAGAGUUAAAAAGAAAAACACUUCCAUAUAAGUAUACCACCAUAUCAACCAACCUCCAUACCAACAAAAUCACACUUCCAGAAUGAGCAAUAUAAACAAUAUAGCACCAAAGUCAACUCAAGCAUAAAUCAAAAGCACAGGUCCAACAUGAGAUAUCAGAAUCAUAAACACAAAAUAAAUAACAUCAUAUGCAUACGGCAAAUAACAUGAAAUGAGAAAUGUCUGUGCGAAUAUCAGAGAGGCAGAGAAAUCUAAGACGGAGGCUGUGAAGACGAACUGCCGGGGUCAUAUCCAAAGUAGCCGAGAAUGCGACGCUGACCCGCAAGUAACGCCAUCUGCUGAUCUGAAAUUUGCUCCCGAAAGGUUGCAAAUUCAAAUCGAAGCUGCUGCUGCUGCUGGGACAGUGCAUCCACUCGGUCGAGAAGCUGCUGGAAGCGAUCCUCAGGAACAGCUGAUGCCGCAGGAGGGACGGCAGUCUCGGUAGGCUCGUCAUCCUGAGGUGCAUCUGCUGCUGGUGCUGCUGGGGAAGCAGGAGCUGCUGGUGCUGCUGCUCGGCGAGGAAUACGCGGUCUAGCCCCAAGACGGAAAUCAGGCAGCUCAUCCUCAGAGUAGACAUCAUUCAGCAUGCGAUCAUCCUCGGGUGCAAUCAGUGUGGCUUCAUUUUUGGAGGAUGUAGUCUUUUCCCAUUUCCCACGCUUCUUAAAGAAACCAAUGGCAGAAAUAAUGUCUCGACCAAGCUUACGAGUCUCGAGAAAAACAGGCUCGACGAUAGGAACAUGAAAGUGGUUCAGGAUCCUAGUGAUGAUGCUGCCAUAAGGAAGGGAUCGGUUGGAGACUUUAGGAGUGGACAGCAUAUGGCACAUAAUGGUGUAGGAUAGGCUCACAUGGCGUUGACGAAUAAGAGAGUCUAAUAGACCAAUGUCAAGCCUAGUGACCUCAUCAGUGUGCCCCUGUCUAGGAGUGACCAUGUGUUGGAGAAUAAUGUGAAGUAUUCGAAUCUGAAAAGGGAGGAGUUGAGACCUAAAGGACAAAGAGCAGAUGUCAUCGGAAAGAUCCCGACGAUGACAAAUGUUCCGUACACCAUCCACAUGAUGAAAAUUACUAAACUCUAGUUCUUUUCUAGAGGUGUACAGAUCUAAUCCUCCAUAAGCGAUUCCUAGAAUACUACAUAAUUCGGGUUCAUCAAGCUCAAUACGAAUACCUCCUACGAAUGUAUGAAGCUCGUUACGACUAGAAGAGGAGAAAUCUAUGUUUGAAUAAAAGACUCGAACAAGAUUUUCAUAAAUAGGUUCAUCAAUACUUAAAGCUUGCUUCCAAUGACUAAGCAUUUGAGUAAUUGAGUGACCACAAACAGAAAUAUCCGAGAACUCCGAAAUGUUAAGAGAAAAAGAGGGAGUUACGGGUUUACCCAUGAACUUUUCACGGAAUCGCUGAGCAGAGGUAGCAUCGGGAAAAUGAAGACUCUCGAAGUCUUGAGGAGGAGACCUGGGUGGACUGGAACGGCGUGAAGCAGUGUGCUUGGUUCGAGCACGCCUUGGAGGUCGUUAUGCCAUGGAUGAGUUUAAAAAAAAAUGUGAAAAUGAAGUUUGAGAGAUGAGAUAGUGAUUGUGGUUGAAAAUGUGACUGGAGAAAGGAAGAGAUAUGGGUUAAUUUGAGCAAGGAGGGCUCGGCUGGUUCUAGGGUUUCAAAAAGAAGAUUUUUCAAUUUUAGAUGAAAAAGAGGGAUUUGAGUCGGUUAAAAGGGUCUAGAGAAGAUAAAAAAAAAUGGUUUGUGAUGCUUCAAUUUGAUGAAAAAGGGCAAGAAAAAUGAUGGAUUUGGGAGUAAAGAACUGGUGCAGUCGCGGGCUGAAGAAAGAGAGAGAGAAGGGGAAGCCGAAAUGAGGAGGAAGACAAAGGACUGUUCAAUUAACGCGUGAAAACGGCGAGCCGUUAUAACGAAAACGGCGAGCCGACAGAUUUCAGAGAGUCCUCAAAACAAAUUCAUCAAAACGGCGAGCCGUUUAUAUAAAUAACGGCGAGCCGAUAGGGUCCAGAGAGUCCACACAAGAAAAAUGUAUCAGGACGGUGAGCCGAUAGACAGAUAUCGGCGAACCGAUAGCUUCCAGAAAGCGUUCCAUUGUUUCUGCCCAAAACGGUUAGCCGUUUAUUUAAAUAACGGCGAUCCGUUUUCUACAACCUAUGAUUUCGCACAUGUAUUUUGAUAUUUGGCUACUUAUUAAUACAUUUCAAGAUCAUUUUAUUGAUCCAAAAUGAUUUGAGUGCCAUUUCAAUGCAUAAUUCAUGAACAUAUAUAUAUAUGUAUUGCAAUAAUUAAUUCAUACAUUUUCAAAUAUACAUACACAUUACAUGCAUAUUACGAUUGAGCAUUCCAUAGAAAUUAAAGCAUCAAGUCAUAGAUCAAUCAAUAAUAAUAGACUCAAUAGCAUGAAUGAAGAUGUUAAUGUGAAAAUUUCAUCAUCCCAAGUUCAUGCCGAAUUUUGGAAAAUUAUUCUUCGCAAAGAGGUUUUGUAAAAAUAUCGGCAAGUUGUUUUUCCGUAGAAAUAAACUCUAGUGCAAUGUCUCUCUUUUGAACAUGAUCUCUCAAGAAGUGAUGUCUUAUUUCUAUAUGCUUGGUUCGAGAGUGUUGAAUGGGAUUUUUUGAAAGAUUAAUAGCACUAGUAUUAUCACACUUAAUAGGAAUUUGUUCAAGAUUAAUGCCAUAAUCUCUAAGUGUUUGUUUCAUCCAAAGUGCUUGUGCACAACAACUUCCGGCAGCUAUAUAUUCAGCCUCGGUAGUUGAAAGUGCAACAGAAUUUUGUUUCUUGCUAAACCAUGAAACAAGAGAGUGUCCUAGAAUAUAGCAAGUACCACUAGUGCUCUUCAUAUCCACUUUAUAACCAGCAAAAUCCGCAUCCGAAAAGCAUGUUAAAUCUAUGUGAGUUCCCCUAGGAUACCAAAGGCCAAUAUCUAUGGUUCCACUCAAAUAACGGAAAAUUCUUUUAACAGCUAGCAAAUGAGAUUCCUUGGGACAUGACUGAAAUCUUGCACACAAACAUACACUAAACAUGAUAUCGGGUCUACUUGCAGUCAAAUAAAGUAGGGAUCCGAUCAUACCUCGAUACAUUUUGAUGUCCACUUCUUUACCUUUUUCAUCUUUGUCCAGCUUGGUUGUUGUGCUCAUUGGUGUAUUCUUGGUCUUUGAAUCAUCAAUGCCGAAUCGUUUGAGUAGAUCAUUUACGUACUUGGCUUGAUUUAUGAAAAUUCCUUCCUCGUUUUGUUUGAUUUGAAGUCCAAGGAAGUAUUUCAACUCUCCCAUCAUACUCAUCUCAAAUUAUUUGCUCAUACACGAUGAAAAUUCUUUACACAACAACUCAUUAGUAGAACCAAAAAUAAUAUCAUCAACAUAAAUUUGAACAAUAAGUAUGUCUUGGUUCUUAUGCUUAACAAAUAGAGUAGUAUCCGCUUUACCCAUUGAGAAGUCAUUUUCCAACAGAAAAUUCUUAAGUCUAUCAUACCAUGCUCUAGGUGCUUGUUUUAAACCAUACAAGGCUUUAAGCAACUUAUAAACAUGAUUUGGAAAUUUUUCAUUUUCAAAACCAGGGGGUUGUUUUACAUACACUUCUUCCAUAAUAUAUCCAUUUAGGAAAGCACUUUUCACAUCCAUUUGAAAUAAAAUAAAAUCUUUAUGACAUGCAUAUGCUAACAACAUUCUAAUGGAUUCUAACCUUGCUACAGGAGCAAAGGUUUCAUCAAAAUCAAUUCCUUCUUCUUGGUUGUAACCUUGAGCCACUAAUCUAGCUUUGUUUCUUACAACCACGCCGGAUUCAUCCAUCUUAUUUCUAAACACCCAUUUAGUACCUAUUACAGAUUGAUGUUCAGGUUUAGGAACUAAUUCCCACACAUUGUUUCUUUCAAAUUGAUUUAACUCCUCUUGCAUUGCCAUAAUCCAAGAUUCAUCAUUUUCUGCAUCCUCAAAGGAUUUUGGUUCAAUUUGAGAGAUGAAUGCAUUAUGCUCACAAGUAUUUCUAAGUGAUGAUCUAGUUGUAAUACCUCGUGAGGGAUCUCCUAAAAUUACAUCUUUAGGGUGAGAAGAGACAUACCUCCACUCCUUGGGGAGUGUUUGAGAAGUACCUUCAUUUUGCUCCGCAUUUAGUUCUUCAUGAUGUUCCUCUUGAAUUCCAUGUGGUGCAUCCUCUUGAUUGUCAUUUGAUGCUUUUUCUUCUUGUUCUUCUUCUCCUGCAUCAUCAUCAACAACGACUUUCUCCGUAGAUGAGGGGUUAGACUCAUCAAAUGUGACAUGCAUAGAUUCUUCCACAACUAAAGUUCUUUUGUUAUAGACUCUAUAAGCUUUGCUUGAAUUUGAAUAACCAAGAAAAAUACCAACAUCGGAUUUUGAAUCAAAUUUACCAAGAUUGUCUUUUGUGUUCAAUACAAAACAUUUGCAUCCAAAAACUUUAAAAUAGCCAAUGUUGGGUUUUCUAUCUUUCCAAAGCUCAUAUGGAGUUUUAUUAAGAUUAGGUCUAAUCAACACCCGAUUUAAAACAUAACAAGCGGUGUUGACGGCUUCGGCCCAAAAAUAUUUUGGUAAUGCAUUUUCAUUUAACAUGGUCCUGGCCAUUUCUUGAAUAGACCUAUUCUUUCUCUCAACAACUUCAUUUUGUUGUGGAGUUCUAGGUGAAGAAAAUUGAUGCUCAAUGCCUAGAUUAUUGCAAAAACUCUCAAAUGCAUGAUUUUCAAAUUCUCCUCCAUGAUCACUCCUAAUGCAUACAAUACCAUGCCCUUUUUCAUUUUGUAAUUUCUUACACAGCACUUUAAAUGCAUCAAGAGCAUCAUCCUUAUUGGCUAAGAAUAAUACCCAUGUAUAUCUAGAAUAAUCAUCCACUAUCACAAAAGCAUAAUAUUUGCCAUUUAGACUUGCAUAUCUAGAUGGCCCAAAAAGAUCUAUGUGAAGAAGUUCAAGUGAUUUUGAAGUAGAAAUAUGGUUUUUAUUUUUGAAAGAAGUUUUAAUUUGUUUUCCAAAUUGACAAGCUUCACAAAUCUUAUCCUUUUGAAAACCAAUUUUCGGAAGACCUUUAACUAAAUCAUCUUUCGAAAUUUUUGAAAUCAAAUCCAUACUUGCAUGUCCUAACCUUCUAUGCCACAACCAACAAUCAUCAUGCAAUGCCGAAAAACAUUUAUCAAGAGUAGAUGCACAUUCUAUGUCAAUGAUAUAAACAUUACCACAUCUAUUUCCAACAAAUAAGGUUUUGCCAUCACAUGAGUUCUCAAUAAUACAACUAAGUUUAUCAAAGAUAACUUUAUAACCUUUGUCACAUAAUUGACUAAUGCUAAUUAAGUUGUGUUUCAAGUUUUCAACCAAACAUACAUUCUCAAUUAAAGUUGAAGAGACUUUACCAACAUUUUCAAUUCCAAGAAUUUUUCCUUUUGAGUUGUCUCCAAAAGAUACGUCUCCACCAUUUUCAAUUUUGGUGAAGCUUGAGAACCAUGCAUAGUUUCCGGUCAUGUGCCUUGAACAACCGCUGUCCAAGUACCAUUUAUUUUUCUUCUUCUUCAAGCCCUACAAGAAAAAGUCUCAAGUUUUAGGUAACCAAAGCUCUUUGGGUCCUUGAGAGUUAGCAACGGUUCCUUUUGGAACCCAAAUGCAUUUGACACCAUAAUAUGCAUUCCUUUUCACGGGACAUCUAAAUUUCAUGUGACCAUUUUGAUUACAAUAAUGACAUGCAAUCUUAUGAUCAUUUGUGGAGGUAGCUUUAACAAAAUAAUUCUUAUAAUACUUUUGCUUCAAGUUAGGCUUAUAUCCAAGUCCUCCUUUAUCAAAAACACAUUUUUGUGAGUUAAGCAUAUUAUCCAACAUCUUUUGCCCAUUUGUAAAUUUCAAAACAAUUUCAUUCAAUUCAUUAUUCUUUUUCUUGAGCAAUUCGUUCUCAUUUUUCAACUCAUCUAUGUGUGAUUUCAAAUGCUCAUGUAAAAUGCUAGGUUUCUCAUUUGAUAAUGCAAUUUCAUCAUGCAAUGUUUUGUUUCCUACUUCUAGGCAUACAAUUCUUGCAUUUAGAGAUUCAUUUUCAUUUUUAAGCUUUGCCAUUUCCUUUUUAAGACAUACAUUCUUUUUACCAAUUUUCAUCAACUCAUUAUGCAAAUCUUGAAAAGCAUCAUAUAAUUCAUCAUAGGUAGGAUCACUUACCUCAUUGAGAUCAUCAUCCCCUCCUAUUGCCAUGAGUGCUAGGUUUGAUACUUCUUGCGAUCCUUCUUCAUCAUUUGAUUCUUCCUCACUAUCAUCCCAAGUUGCAACCAUUGUUUUCUUCUUCAGUUUGUUGAUAAGUGGGCACUCCGAUCUUAUAUGUCCAGGCUUCUUGCAUUCAUAGCAAGUGAUUGCCUCCUUCUUCUCCCUAUAGUUCUUGAAGUUUCUGAAAUUUCUUCGCUCUCCGGUUUUCUUGAAGAAUUUUCUGAACCUCCUUGCUAGCAUGGCUAGCUCUUCAUCAUCCGGUUCACUCUCCCUAUCACUCUCAUAUUUUGAAGCUUUGAGAGCAAUGCUUUUCUUCUUCUCCUCAUGUCCUUUUUCUGCAGCUAAAUCCUCUUCAUACGAAAUAAGAGAACCAAUUAAAUCAUCAAGAGGUAAAGUAUUUAAAUCUUUGGCCUCUUCAAUAGCGGUUCUUUUAGGUCUCCAUUCUUUUGGAAGUGACCUAAUGAUUUUCUUAACUUUCUCACUAUUUGAGAAGGUUUUCCCUAAGGCACCUAGGGUGUUCACUAUGUCCGUGAAUCUAGUGUACAUAGAAUACACAUUUUCAUUUUGUUCCAUUUGGAACAACUCAUAUUGACGAGUGUAUCUACUGAUUUUAGACUCUUUCACUUGAUUUGUCCCUUCAUAGACAACUUCAAGUUUGUUCCAUAUCUCUUGUGCACUUUCACAACUAAAUACUCUAUGGAAUUCUUUCUUAUCAAGGGCACAAAACAAAGCAUUCAUAGCCUUGGAGUUUAGAGACAUCUUUCUCUUUUCUAACUCACUCCAUUGACUCGAUGGUUUAGGAAUAUCAUCUCCUACUUCAUCUUUGAACGUAGGCAUGAAUGGACCAUCACAAACAACUUCCCAAAUUUCAUAAUCUAAGGCUUGCAAAUAGAUUCUCAUUCUAGUUUUCCAAUAAGCAUAGUCAUUACCAUCGAAAAAUGGUGGUCUAGUUGUGGAUUGCCCUUCUCUAAAGGUUGAGUCAUUUAGGGUUGCCAUGGAUCUUUUACUCUAGACGAUUAAUUCUUAACAAGAGAACGAGGCUCUGAUACCAAUUGAAAUACAAGUAUGCAACCCAAGAGGGGGGGUGAAUUGGGAUUCUAAAAAAUUAUUCAAUUUAUUAAAGAAAAUCUUAAUGCAAUUAUAAAUCAAAUUCAAAGCAAUAACAAUUAAGAAGAUCACAAUAUAAAAAGAUAAGGGAAGAGGGAUUCAAACACCGAGAUUUUUACGUGGUUCGGCCAACCUCGCCUACGUCCACGCCUCCAAGCUUUCCGGGCUUGAGGAUUCCACUAAGCAAGCCUCCAAGGCUUCAAAUGCUUACACUUGACUUCCAAGGUGUCAAUAAACCUUUACAACAAGAGAUUAUCCCCAAUCUCUUAACCCAAGUGUAUCCCAACACUUACAAUCACUCAAAGUAAAAGAUUACAAAUUGUUUUUCUCUCACACAAUAUUUAAGAUCACAAAUCAAUGCCCAAUGUGUGAAUAGAUGAAGAGAGAAUGUGUUUCAAGCUCUAUGAAGAUUGUAUUCUCGAAUAUUUGCUCAAUGGUCGUGUUGUUAUCUAUCUUUGUUUGGAUUUGAAUGAGCUUAUUUAUAGUUGCAGCUGAAAACUAGCCGUUAUUGACUUUCUGCACACUGUCGGAUCGCCGUUAACUAUAUAUCGGAUCGCCGUUUGACUGGUCAAUAUGACCGUUGAGCUGAUUUUUCAAAUUGUCGGAUCGCCGUUAUCUAGAUGUCUGAUCGCCGUUUGUGUCCAGAGGCUACACUUCACUUCUGGUUAAUAUCGGCGAGCCGUUUAUCACAAUUGUCGGAUCACCGUUUUUGUCCAGAGGCUACUGGAUGAUAUCGGCGAGCCGUUUAUCACACAUGUCGGUGUGCCGUUUACGUCCAGAGGCUAAUCUCCAUUUCUGCUUGAAAUCGGCGAGCCGUUUAUUACAAAUGUCGGAUCACCGUUUUCCACUAAAACUGCUGCAGUGAGCUAUUUUGCAAGAUGACUGUUUUGUCUCCAAAUCUUUAUAAAAAAAAACUUUAUGAAACUUGUCAAAAAUAGAUGAAAAUUAUGUUGAGCUUUUAAAAACGAUUAAUCAAUCUUAAUUAUGUUUGUUAUCAUCAAAAUCAAUAAAUAAUAAUUUAUGUUAACAGAUAGUGGAGCUACUCACCACUUAACAAAUAAUAUGGAAAAUCUGCAGCUCAGAGAGGAGUACAAAGGUAAUGAUCAGCUCAUCAUUGGAAAUGGUAAAGGAUUAUUUAUCUCUCAUGUUGGACAUGCUUUCUUAUCAUUUAGAGCUUCAAACUGUCAUUCUUCACAUCCUGUUAUAGCACUUAAAGACAUGUUGUUUGUUCCUUCAAUAACUAAAAAUUUGUUAAGCAUUUCUAAACUCACCUCUGAUAAUUCUCUCUCUGUUGAAUUCUGUGGAAAUUUUUGUUUUGUAAAGGACAUGAAGGGACAGGUUCUUCUGCAGGGCUCUGCUGAGAAAGGUCUCUACAAGCUGCUAUUGAAACCUAAGCCUUAGUCUUCCUCACCUACAUCUCAUCUGUCACAAUCUCAGAUAAAUAAGCCAGUUUCUAUGCUGUCAGUUUCAAAUGUGUCUUCUGUUCAUCAAAAUUGUAGUGCUUUUACUACAACUUGUAAUAACUCAUUUUCAAAUGAUUGUAAUCAAAAACCUGAUGAUCUGACCUUAUUUCAUAGAAGGUUUGGUCAUCCAAAUUCAACAAUAUUGAUGCAUUUACUUAAGUCUUGUAAGUAAUUUAAAGUCUCUUCUAAAACUCUUUCAUCUUCUCUCUGUGAUGCUUGUCAAUUAAGAAAGACUCAUAAACAACAUUUUCCCAUUAUUGAAACUAAAAGUACACAAGUACUGGAACUGAUAUACUGACAUUUGGGGGCCUUCACCUACUGUUUCUAGGAAUGGAUACAAAUAUUAUAUCAGUUUUGUGGAUGACUACAGUAGAUACACUUGGAUUUAUCCUCUUAAGCUUAAGUCAGAUGCUUUUGCAGUCUUUAAACUCUUUAAACUCCAAGUAGAAAACCAGUUCAGUACUAAAGUCAAGAUGUUGCAAUCUGACUGGGGGGGAGAAUAUAGAGUGUUCACUGAUUUCUUGAAUUAAAAUGGGAUCAUAUUUCGACAUUCAUGUCCAUAUACUCACCAUCAAAAUGGUUUGGUUGAGAGAAAGCAUAGACAUAUAGUAGAAUUGGGAUUGACAUUAUUAGCUCAAGCUGAUCUGCCCUUUAGAUUUUGGUGGGAUGCUAUUCACAUUGCAGUUUAUCAUAUAAAUAGAUUACCUACCCCUGUGCUAAAAUUUGUGUCUCCUUAGAAGAAAUUAUUCAAACACAAACCAGAUUACAGCUUCUUAAAAUGUUUUGGUUGUCUUUGUUAUCCAUAUUUGAGGGAUUUUAACAAGCAUAAGUUUGAUUUUCAUAUAAGAAAAUGCAUCUUUAUUGGAUACAGCCCAUCUCAUAAAGGUUACAAGUGUUUGACAAGUUCAGGAAAGGUUCAUAUACUUAGACAUGUGAUCUUUGAUGAAACUACAUUUCCUUACCUGACCAACAACAUCUUUUCUUCUUCUGAAAACACAUCCUCAUAUGAGAUUCUUGUGUCAUCCUUUACUCAACAACAAAUUUUUCAUCUAUCAACACUUUCUACCUCUGAUAGCAGUCUUGAAGAAAAUUUCUCAGCAGACUCAGCAAGAAGUGAACAGGUAUCUUCAUCAUCUUUACAUACAAAUAUUUUACAUCAUGAGAUACCUAAUCAUUCUUUGACAGAAUCUUCAUCACCUCACAUAGCUUCCCAACAACAGUUUAAACCACAAAUUACUAUCCCUGAUGCCUUAAACACAAGCCAGACUCAGAAACCUUUUCACCAAAUGAUUACCAUAUCCAAAUCUAGUAUCUUCAAGCCAAAACUAUAUACAGCAGCUUUAGUCAAUAAAGAACCCGAUACAGUCCAAGAAGCUCUCAGUGAUAAGAACUAGCAUCAAGCCAUGAGUGAUGAGUAUGAGGCUUUAAUCAGGAAUAAGACUUGGUUAUUAGUUCCAUUUUAAGCUGAACACAAAGUUGUAGGCAAUAAGUGGGUGUUUAGAGUCAAACAAAAUAGUGAUUGAAGUAUAGCUAAGUAUAAAGCUCGAUUAGUUGCAAAAGGUUUUCAACAAACAGAGGGUGUAGAUUACUUUGAAACAUUCAGUCCUGUUGUGAAAUCUUCUACAUUGAGAAUUAUGUUGAGUUUAGUUGCAAUACAUAAAUGGACAAUUAGGCAAGUGGAUGUAAAUAAUGCAUUCUUAAAUGGGGAGUUGACAGAAGAGGUUUAUAUGUGUCAACCUGAGGGGUUUGUUGAUCUGCAGAAACCUAGCUAUGUCUGCAAACUAAAGAAGGCUUUAUAUGGCUUAAAACAAGCUCCAAGAGCUUGGUAUGAUAAGUUGAGAGAUAGUCUAGUUACCAAGUGGGGAUUCAGAAAAUCAAGAGCUGAUACAUCCUUGUUCUGCAAAGGAAAACAUGGCUCAAUAAUUUUUGUUUUGAUAUAUGUUGAUGAUAUACUUAUCACAGGUCCUAAUAGUGCUGAGCUGGAGCAAUUUAUUUUGGAAUUCAGUCAAGUGUUUGCUCUGAAAGACUUGGGGAAACUGUCAUAUUUUCUUGGUAUAGAAGUUUCUUAUGCUGCAGAUAAUAUUUACCUGUCUAAGAGAAAAUAUAUCAGGGAUCUGUUGAGUAAAGCUGAUAUGUUAAAGUGUAAAGGGUGUGACACUCCAAUGGUGACAGGAGUAAAGCUCCAGAAAGAAGCUAAGGGUCAUUUGGGUCAGUAUGUUGAAGAUCCUACUGGUUACAGAAGUCUUGUUGGAAGGUUGCAGUAUUUAGUUCUAACAAGACCAGAAAUAGCUUAUGCAGUACACAAGCUAAGUCAGUAUGUGUCAGCACCUACACUUCAACAUAUCCUUGCAUGCAAAAGAAUUCUUAGGUAUCUAAAGGAGACUGAAGAUUUUGGUUUAAAAUUUUCCAUAGAAUGAGAAAUGAAGCUCUCGGGUUACACUGAUGCAGAUUAGGCUUGUGACAUUGAUGACAGGAAAUCAACAGGUGCUUAUUGCAUUUAUUUGGGAAGUAACUUGAUAUCUUGGUCAUCCAAGAAACAGUCAGUGGUUGCUAGGUCCAGUGCAGAGAGUGAGUACAGAGCCCUUGCAGCUACAAGUGCAGAAAUCUCAUGGAUUCAGUCACUGUUUGAUGAACUUGGUAUUGAAUGUUUCUCUCUUCCUAUGAUCUGGUGUGAUAAUGUCAGUGCAAUAGAACUAGCUAAGAAUCAUGUCUAUCAUUCAAGAACAAAACAUAUUGAAUUAGACAUGCACUUCAUUAGAGAUAAAGUCUUAGCUAAAGAACUGGAAAUCAGAUACAUUCCUAGUGAAGAGCAGAUUGCAGACAUCUUGACUAAGCCACUCACUUUUAUCCAUUUCAAUUAUUUUCGAGCCAAACUCAAUGUGCAAACAUGCCCCUUGAGUUUGAGGGGGGAUGUUAAGGAAGCUCAUGUUGCAGUCAAAGGAUCAGCUCAGUCAGCACGUGUGAGUCAAAGCAGAAAUCAGCAGAGUCUAUUAAGAAACUUUGCCAGCUCAGCAAGUUUGUUGUAGCAUGCUUUUCAUUCUGUUUUGUAGUUAAGCUUACUUAAUAAGUUUAGCUCUCUUAUUCUAGCUUUUGUAUCUAAGCUAAUAUUGAUUUACUGUAGUUUGUAAUUGAGAAUGAUAUAAAAUAAACUUCAGAGUAUUCCUUUCAUUUUCUUAGUUCCCAAACACAUUUUAAAGUUGCAAAUCUUAACUUUCAAACAAUAAUUGACAUAAUUGUGGGGGAGACUGAGUUCAUAAUUGAGUGGAGACAGAUUUAAUGACAAUAAAUUUGAUAUAUUCGAUUCAUUUCAAUCAGGGGAAAAUUUGAUGACAAUAAAGUUGAUAUAUUCAAUUCAUUUCAACUGGAGGAAAAACUAAUUUUGAUCUACACUAAAAAAAUCUAUAAAGUUUAAGGUUUAAAAAACAAGAAUUUUGUGGUGAGGCAUUAUUAUUUUGUUGGGCCAUCAUUUUUUGUCAAUGUUCAAAUUCAAUAAUUAAAUCCCUUGAUUAAUCCCUAAUAUAUUUUUCAUUUUCAAUAUUCUAAUCUAAUAUAUUCAAACCAUAACUUGUUUGUCAAUGUCUAGUAUUCUAAUUACUGUAUUUUUUAUGAAACAAAAGUGCUCCAUUGAAGUGUCAAAUAAUAAGCAAGUAUCAUUUUUUUAAAUAUUCAUUAUUAUCAAAAUAAAUCAUAUCCAAUUAUGAUGUGAGCGGGAACUAAACUCUAAAGAUUAGGGGUACAGUUAGUGACUUUUUAAAAUAAUUUUUUUAUCAAAUUGAUGUUUUGAAACUGUGUUUUUUAUAACGUUUAAAAUGUGUUUGAUAGUAUUUGUUACAAAAGUUUUCUAAAAUAGAAAUAGUUAGAACAUGUUUGGUGCAUUUUUUAAAUGAGUUAUAAACUAAAGUUCUAAUUUGCCACAAUAGCUAAAUACAAUUUUUACUUUUUCUGUUUUCAAAAAAUAAAUAAAAAAAUAUUUUUUUUAAUGUCGCCAAACAUUCUCUAGAAAAUUUUAAUAAUAAAAAGAUUUACCUAUUAAAUCAACUAACACUUGCAAAAAAUGCAAGCGCAAUAAACAAAUUUAAAAAAAAAAAAUCAUUUAUUUAUUUUGGUGUAAGUCAUUCGGUAUCCGGCAACCACAUUGAGUCACGACUAAUUCGAAUUCGGGGCGUAGUCACAAUUAAGACUCUUUACCCCUCCAAAAAAAAAAAUCAUUUAUUUAAGUUGCACAUAAUGAGUUGUUUGACUUACUAUUUAUGUUGGGUCAUACUCGUUAUGAGUUGUUUUAGCUAAUCAUUAAUGUUGUUUAUGCAAAACAAGAUUUUCAAAUUUGUCACGUGUCAAUCGUUUGUAAUCAGACAAUAAACAUGUUAGCUAGAUUUGUUUUAAAUUGUUCUUGAGUUUAUUAUAUAGAUGGAAGAUUUUUCAUUCCACUCAAUUGAUAAUCUCAGAGACUUCUGAUUUUUAAAAUAUAGUAGUUUUCUUUGGUGGGGGUGGGGGGCGUUACGCAUCUUCAUUCAAUUUUAACGUUAGCUAAGUGUCGCCAUUUAUAACUUUGACAAUAUUGCUUAAAUGCAACAAUCGAUUGAGAAAUCUAGCUACCACGAUCUUAAGAUCAAAGGUGUCAUUUACAAAUGCACCCAACGCAUUUUUUGAUUGAUUAAUUAUUUAUAAUGAAGUGUCAAAAUUACUUUCAAAUAGUUUAAAGUAAUUUAUUAUCCGUUUUGUAUUGUGUUUGAUUGAAACUUGAGGAUAGUCCAAAAUAUUUUAAAGAGAUAAUGAUAUCGUGCUAUCCAAAAAAAAAUAUAUUUCUGUAAUUUAAGAAAUCGUAGAGAACGAUUCAAAUAAUUAGUUAAUUAUCUUGUUUAAACAAUAUAUAAGAAAAAAAAACCAUUUUUUGAAUUAAUUUUACUCUCAAUUGCCACUAGAUUUUUCUAUUCUUUUCCACAAGUGACCUACCCGACCUGGACUCGGGUCGAACCUAAAUGAUGCGGACCAAGCAAUACCUUGCCUAGGAUGUGGUCACGCCGGCCCCGACCAUCACUUGAUAAGCUCGGAGUUCAGCCUGAAACUUGAAUUUAGGGGUGUCAAAAAUAACGUCCAACUCGAACUUGGACUGGACCCAAGCUACGCAAGCUAGGUACGAGGCUAGACUGAUUCCGGGCAUCACUUGAUAAGCAUGUGGUUUGGCCCAAAACUUGAAUUUUGUGUGUGUGUAAUAAUUAUAUUUAUUUAACCCAUCUACUACAUAUAUCUAAAAUCUUAAAUAUUUAAAGUUCAUAUUUUAAUAUCCAAUUUCAUUAAAAUGAAUUUAAAAAUUAUAAAAUAAAUUAAAGAAUAUACAUAUAUAAUAUUAUAAAAUAAAAAAUUUGAUGAAUAAUAACUCUGAUUAAAAAAAUCCAGUCCGCUGCUGGCCUUUUUAAGCCCAGCCUAGGUGUCUAAAAAAAUAUAUCCGAGCGGAGUCCGGGCAUUACCAUACCCAAAACCAAGUUUUGCCAUCCUUACCUAACCGACUAAUUUUCAAACAACUUUAUUUAACUGUUUAUUUGAGUUCAACUCUUAGAGAAAUAAGAG
rnacentral:lncRNA from 1 species